CCUUAGUUACGGCGAGUGAGCGGUAAAAGCUCAAAUUUGAAAUCUGGUACUUUCAGUGCCCGAGUUGUAAUUUGUAGAAUUUGUCUUUGAUUAGGUCCUUGUCUAUGUUCCUUGGAACAGGACGUCAUAGAGGGUGAGAAUCCCGUUUGGCGAGGAUACCUUUUCUCUGUAAGACUUUUUCGAAGAGUCGAGUUGUUUGGGAAUGCAGCUCAAAGUGGGUGGUAAAUUCCAUCUAAAGCUAAAUAUUGGCGAGAGACCGAUAGCGAACAAGUACAGUGAUGGAAAGAUGAAAAGAACUUUGAAAAGAGAGUGAAAAAGUACGUGAAAUUGUUGAAAGGGAAGGGCAUUUGAUCAGACAUGGUGUUUUUUGCAUGCACUCGCCUCUCGUGGGCUUGGGCCUCUCAAAAAUUUCACUGGGCCAACAUCAGUUCUGGCAGCAGGAUAAAUCAUUAAGAAUGUAGCUACCUCGGUAGUGUUAUAGCUUAUUGGAAUACUGCUAGCUGGGAUUGAGGACUGCGCUUCGGCAAGGAUGUUGGCAUAAUGGUUAAAUGCCGCCCGUCUUGAACCACCGGACC
rnacentral:rRNA from 1 species